UACGGGGGGGGUAAGCGUUGUUCGGAAUUACUGGGCGUAAAGCGCACGUAGGCGGAUACUUAAGUCAGGGGUGAAAUCCCGGGGCUCAACCCCGGAACUGCCUUUGAUACUGGGUAUCUCGAGUCCGGAAGAGGUGAGUGGAAUUCCGAGUGUAGAGGUGAAAUUCGUAGAUAUUCGGAGGAACACCAGUGGCGAAGGCGGCUCACUGGUCCGGUACUGACGCUGAGGUGCGAAAGCGUGGGGAGCGAACAGG
rnacentral:rRNA from 1 species